rnacentral:rRNA from 1 species
GAUGAACGCUGGCGGCGUGCCUAAUACAUGCAAGUCGAGCGAACGGACGAGAAGCUUGCUUCUCUGAUGUUAGCGGCGGACGGGUGAGUAACACGUGGAUAACCUACCUAUAAGACUGGGAUAACUUCGGGAAACCGGAGCUAAUGCCGGAUAAUAUUUUGAACCGCAUGGUUCAAAAGUGAAAGACGGUCUUUCUGUCACUUAUAGCUGGAUCCGCGCUGCAUUAGCUAGUUGGUAAGGUAACGGCUUACCAAGGCAACGAUGCAUAGCCGACCUGAGAGAGUGAUAGGCCACACUGGAACGGAGACACGGUCCAGACGCCUACGGGAGGCAGCAGUAGGGAAUCUUCCGCAAUGGUGGAGAGCAUGGCGGAGCGACGCCGCGUGAGUGAUGAAGGUCUUCGGAUCGUAAUACUCUGUUAUUAGGGAAGAACAUAUGUGUAAGUAACUGUGCAGAUCUUGACGGUACCUAAUCAGAAAGCCACGGCUAACUACGUG